ensembl:lncRNA
AAAAAAAAAAGUAAAGGAGAAUUAAUUAUGUUUCAGUACCCAGAGGGGGAACAAAAACGGUAAAGAAUUAAGAAAUAAAAAAUUCAUACUGUAAUUAGAACUUUGCAUACUAAAAUCAGAGAAGGUGUUUUCCGAUAAAAUCCAGAACCUUCUCCAACAAAAGCCCGGGAUGGGAGCAGGGUAUGGUAAUCAUGCACCAGAGCCUUAAGGUAUGAAACCUGUACCCAGGCUUGGGAAGAGGAUUAAAUAUCCAGGGAGGGUGCAAAACUUUUUAAUUUCCCAACUUUUCAUCGCCAAAUUAACAGGAGGAAAAGGCUCUGGAGCAGCACAGCAGUGCAUUAUUUAUUUAGGUAUUUAAUGAAUAACAAAAGAGUUGCUCUGUGGAGGCUGCAGGGGAGGCGGGAUUUGAGCAGGGAAUGUCUGAGGAGCUCUGGGAUACAAGGAGGUGAUCCUGGCCAUGGGAAAGGAUUGGAAAUGGAUGGGCUGAAAGGCCCCUUCCACCCCCCACCACUCUGGGAUUGUGGGAUGAUUCCAUGGUUCCCCAGGAGUCACCUCUUAGGGAAUCCUGGAAUGGUUUGGGUCGUAUGGGGAUUUUUAAGGAAUUUUGAAUGGGUUAGAGAUGGGACCUCUGAGCUGUUUUUGAUGAUGUGGUUUAUUUUCUUAUCUUCUACACAGGCAGGAAAAGGGUGAGUUGGGCUCACAACUUCAUUGCAUAGUUCAGAAAGUCACAAGACCCCCAGUUACAAGACCUUUAAGGAUUUAUUGACCAAUAAAACUCUGCCAACAUGAUAUUUAUGGUUUUCACCCAAUCUUUAAAUAUUUCAUCUUAUGGACCCAUGCCACAGUGUGAACUUUCUUAGGCAAUCAUGUUAUGGCACACAAACCCACAGUGCUGCAUCCUAAACUGCUUGUUUGCCUCUGGAACUGCUUUUAUUUUUAUAUCUUAAACUCUGAAACGCUAAACUUUCCUUUCCUUAGCUGAACAUGUCUCUGCUUUAAACUGCAAAUCCACAUUCUCACUGCUGGCACCUCAGUUUGGGAGCCUUUCCCAAGGUCUCAGAUCCAGCCCUGGGUUUAAUUCUGAGCUGUGGCUCACAGGCCCAAAGCUCUGAGAGUUCCCUGAAUUUCGGAUUCCAGCAGGGUUGGAAGGACCUUGAAUCCCCUCCAGUGCCACCCCUGCCAUGGCAGGGACACCUUCCACAGACCAGGCUGCUCCAAGAUCCAUCCAAGCUGGCCUUGGGCACUUCAGUGUUUAAUUCUGGGAGCAGAGGUCCCAUGGAUUUCCCAGCACACCUGGAUGGUUUCCCCUCCCACAGCCACAGGGCAGCACAGCAGGGAAGCCAGGAGCCACUUCCUUGGAAGGAGCCUUUUCCCGGUGCUCCAGAGUCAGGCAGACGUCCUGAAAGGCUUCAGAAAAUCAUAAAUCUGCAGAUUUUAGUGGGAAAGAUGAGCCUUUAGCCACCCUUGGGAAUCUCAACAUCCUCCCAGGAGACAGGGCUGUGCAUUAUUCCCAGGAACAACCCUGGCAGCACCAGGAUUUGCAGGGCAUUUCUGUCACCCUCAGAUAAUGAUGGAUUUGUUCAGUGGACAAAACUGGGAGCUUAAAAAUCACAGCAACUGAAGGAACAAUUCCCAAAUCUGCCUCAUUUAUUUCAUGGCAGGGGGGAUGUGCAGGGAAUGAACACAAGAUGCAACUUCAGGAGCUUGCAGACAAUAGAAAAGUGGGAAAUGGAAACCAAGGGGGAGCCAUCCAUGGAUCUGAUGGAGCUGCUGUGCACAGGAGCCCUCAGCACAUCCUGACUCCUGUGCAAGCCAACUAUGGAUGAUGCUUUUCCCAGUUCCUGACCCUAUUCCUGAGAAAUGAGGUCUGUUGGAUUCACUGCACACCUUUGGUAGGAGCUGUGCUCAGUGCAGAUCCUGUCUGGAUAUCCAGGGUUCAUUUCCCACCUCUCCAUGGUGGAUGGCUCCUGAUCCCACCAAAAUCCUCCUGGAUAAAGCUUUGGAUAACAGCUGACUCCUCUUAAAGCAGAUCCAGCCAAGCCAUGCUUUGCCAGGGGGGAUUCUAUCCCACUUCCAUAUUUCCAGGUAUCCAACAGCAGACCACAGAUGAAUGUUGGAUUCCCCAAAGUUCUGCCAGAAGAUCUCCAGUGCCCUUCACUUAACCAUGACAGCAGCAACACCUGGAUUUUAACUCCCUAAUGAUCCCCAAAAUAUGUAUUUCCUGACAGAAAAUAUUGUAAAUCUUCCUAAAUAUUUUCUGAGCAGAGUGUGCACAGUUUUUCUGGAGGUGGCUGCUGUCUUCAAAAAGGGAAUUUGCUGUUUCAGCUCCACGGAAGGGAGCCCUGCCUGCUGCACCUGCACACUGACAGCAGAUCAAACACAAUCCCUCAGUGUUUCCAGCCACCCCCGUGGCUGGGAAACGGAAAUGUGGGAAUGAAAUUCCUAAUUUAUAGAAAACCCAGCCAAACGUGGGGUAUUCCCACCAGGAAUCCCAGAGAGGAGCACUGUGUCUGUGCUCUGCACGCUCCUGAUUUUUCACAUUUUUUUUUCCAAAGCAGCAUUUUCAAACAGCCUGUAAAAGAGGAUGUCCCAUCAAACUGCUGCUCUGGCAUGAAAUCACAGAAUCCCAAAUUUUCUGAGGUUGAAAAGCCCUCCAGGAUCAGAGUCCCAGCUGUCCCCGAUGCCCACCUUGUCCCCAGCCCAGAGCUCUGAUUCCACCUCCAGGAAUUCCUUGGGCACCUCCAGGGAUGGGCACUCCAAACCUCCCUGGGCAGCCCCUUCAACAGCAGAACCAUUCCAGAGAAUCCCAGAAUCCUGGAAUAGUUUGGGUGGGAAGGGACCUCAAAACCCAUCCAGUGCCACCCCUGCCAAGGGCAGGGACACCUCCCACUGUGCCAGGGUGCUCCAAACUGUCCUGUGAUUCCAUGAUUCCAUGAUUCCAUGAUUCCACAACACGUGUACCCUGCUCCAUGAAACCCUGGGCACCGCCUGCCCCAGCAGCACAGGGUGACACCAGUACAGGGCACUGGUGACACCAGAACCCUCCCUGUGCAUGGUGGAACCAAACCCCUCCAGGAACAUUCCUCAAGGCCCCGCAGCUCCUCACAGCCACAACCAGCCCGUCCCUCAUACAGGGGUUUCCUUUUCCUGCUGCUGAGUUCCCUGUGUGUGCUCCCAGGGCAUGGAGAGUUCAUCAAACCCCUUGUUACAGACACACAUGAUAAUAUUGGCUUUUCCCCAACUCUAAAAUGGGUGCUGUGUGUGUGCUGCUGCAGCACCUUUGCCAUACAGACACAGUUUGUGUUUCUGCUGUCCAUGGGGCUCAGGGCAGCAGCUGCUGUCCCUGUGCUGGGUUAAAAUGCUGCUGGGAUGGGAUAACCCCAAUGAGCACAGGAUGGGCACAGCUGGACAGAUGUGCCCCACAGCACUCACCCUCUGCAGGCAGUGUGGGCCAGGGCCCAAACACUGACGGGGAUGAUAAAAAAGGGCUGAAAUCACAGCCCAAGCACCCACGGGCUCUAAAAAAGCAGAUCCAGAGGGGAAAUGCCCUGAGCAGCUCCUGGGCCAUGGGAACUGCUCGGGGCAGAGUUUGCUGGGCAGAAGGGUCUGUGGGUGUGCAGCAGCUGAUGGAAUGAAAAGGUGUUUGAGGGGUGUCCCCGAAGGUACCAGGGUGCUCCUGGCUGAGGGCCAGGCUGCCCCCGGCCCUGAUAA